rnacentral:rRNA from 1 species
CUACGGGAUGCUGCAGUGGGGAAUAUUGCACAAUGGAGGAAACCCUGAUGCAGCAACGCCGCGUGGAGGAUGACACUUUUCGGAGCGUAAACUCCUUUUAUAUAGGAAGAAGAUGACGGUACUAUAUGAAUAAGCGCCGGCUAACUCCGUGCCAGCAGCCGCGGUAAUACGGAGGGCGCAAGCGUUACUCGGAAUCACUGGGCGUAAAGAGCGUGUAGGCGGAUUAAAAAGUCAGAAGUGAAAUCCUAUAGCUUAACUAUAGAACUGCUUCUGAAACUCUUAAUCUAGAAUAUGGGAGAGGUAGAUGGAAUUUCUGGUGUAGGGGUAACAUCCGUAGAGAUCAGAAGGAAUACCGAUUGCGAAGGCGAUCUACUAGAACAUUAUUGACGCUGAGACGCGAAAGCGUGGGGAGCAAACAGGAUUAGAUACCCGCGUAGUC